rnacentral:rRNA from 1 species
GACGAACGCUGGCGGCGUGCUUAACACAUGCAAGUCGAACGGUAAGGCCCUUUCGGGGGUACACGAGUGGCGAACGGGUGAGUAACACGUGGGUGAUCUGCCCUGCACUUUGGGAUAAGCCUGGGAAACUGGGUCUAAUACCGGAUAGGACUACGCGAUGCAUGUCGUGUGGUGGAAAGCUUUUGCGGUGUGGGAUGGGCCCGCGGCCUAUCAGCUUGUUGGUGGGGUGAUGGCCUACCAAGGCGACGACGGGUAGCCGGCCUGAGAGGGUGUCCGGCCACACUGGGACUGAGAGACGGCCCAGACGCCUACGGGAGGCAGCAGUGGGGAAUAUUGCACAAUGGGCGCAAGCCUGAUGCAGCGACGCCGCGUGGGGGAUGACGGCCUUCGGGUGGUAAACCCCUUUCAGCACAGACGAAGCGUAAGUGACGGGAUGUGCAGAAGAAACACCGGCCAACUACGU